UGAGGAGUAAAUUAGAGAGAGAGAGCUGGAGCUCGGACGGCUGCCGACUAGGGAAAAACCAGAUCGGUGCCAAGGAGGAAAGCCAACAAAGCAAAGAAAGAGAGAGAGAAGAGAAUAACCAGCGACGAUGUGAAGAAAAGGGGGUCUGGUUUGGGCGACCAUCGAGCAAUGAGGCAGGAGAAAGAGAUCGGCCGACACCAAAGAAAAGAAAGACAGGUAGAUCCGAUCAUUCAGGUCCCGUCGUCUGUGACAACAGGAAGCCCCACUAGUUGCCAGCGCAGGGAAAAGAGGGGAAAAACUCGAUCGACGCCAAGGAGGAAGGCCGACUAAAAGAAAGAGAAAGGAGAGGGGAAGAAGUCCCCAAGCCGACGCCGGUGAGAGAGAAAAGAGAGAAGGAAAUGUUUGAUUUUUUUAGAGAGAAGGCAGAGCAUCUGCCUUUAGAGAGAGAAACGAGUGGAGAAAAUGGGGAAAGGCCAAAAAAGAGGGAUUAUAUAGGAUAGGUAGAGGUAAAACUGCACCGUUUUGAGAAGGUAGGAUCAAGCGGCUUAAAGGCCUUUGGAACGAUACCGUUUGGUGCUCCAGAAUGUGUGUUUAGGAUAAGUUGUUUGGACCCAGGCCAGAUCGGAGGGGAGCCAAAGCCCAACGGCGCUUAAACCCACUUUGAGCAGUGGGUCAGCUUCAACCCAGUAGGUAAUGGAUCUGCUCACUGAAUAAUGAUUCGGGCUUGGACUAUUGAUGUUGGG
rnacentral:lncRNA from 1 species